UGCCCUAUGGUGUAAUGGUAGCACUCCAGAUUCUGGUUCUGUCUGUCUGGGUUCGAGUCCUAGUGGGGCAACAA
rnacentral:tRNA from 1 species